rnacentral:misc_RNA from 1 species
GCAAACUUAACAGCCUCUCAACUAUUCCACUAUCAAUCACAAUCCUUUUUUAGCAUUUUUUAUAAUUACCUAUAAUUUUGGUUUUUAGUCAUUUUGUUAAGAGAAUCACUGGAGAUAUAAAUUAUUAUAAUUACGUGUAUUUUCAAAAGAAUUGGUUUUUGGAAAGUAUUUUGAUUUUGAUUAUUUUGGAAAGGGACUGUCCAAGAAACACGAAUCUCCAAUUUAACGCAUCAUGAUAGGUAUUUACAAUUUUAAUUAGCAAAUUAAUUCUGCAGUACUAGUUAUACUUUUUAUAGAGUGACGUGUUUCAGUAGAGUGUUUUCAAUUGUUUUGUAAUGGUUUUGUAUGAGAACAUGACUGGAGUGUGUUGAAAUGAAUUUAAAUAAAACAUUAUUUAUCGU